GAAGUAGCAAAUAUGUUAAGCUUUACAAACAUUUAUUUUAUUUUAUUUUUUGAGAUAGGGUCUUGCUGUGUUAUCCAGGCUGGAGUGCAGUGGUGUGUGAUCUUGGCUUGCUGCAAACCCCUCCUCUUUCAUUCAAGGGAUCCUCCCACCUCAACCUCUGGAGCAGCUGCUACCACAGGUGCCUGCCACUAUGCCCAGCUAAUUUUUGUAUAUUUGUUAGUAGAGGCUAUGUUAGCCAGGCUGGUCUCGAACUCCUAACCUCAAGCGAUCCACCCACCUCGGCCCCCAAAAUGCUGGAAUUACAGGUGCGAGCCACCGCACUCAGCCCUGACAUUUAAUAUUUGUGUGAACACUGGUCAAUGUUCUUGUGUCCUGGUCUUUCCUGCAGGUAUUCUUGCAGAGAGGAGGGAAGACAUCAUUGCUGUCAACCAUUUUAUUUGAUUUCAGCAUAGUGCAAUGUACAUAUUAAGGAUUCUCACUCACUAGACGUGACUGGCCAUCUGAGAGAGGG
rnacentral:lncRNA from 10 species